rnacentral:lncRNA from 1 species
GAUGGCCCCGAUCGGCUCCCCGUCGGCCGCAUUGAGCUCGCCGCCGGCGUCCAUGGAGAUGGAGGCGCUAGCUACGAGGAGGAGUGGGGGUUUAGCGUGCGUGCUUUGGUUGGUUGGUUGGGUUAAACUCUGGCGGACGGCGACUCUGGUUUGGUUUGAGCUCAGAGAAGAGAAGAAGAAACCAAAUGCAGUUCACCACAUGGUCAAAAAGAAAAAAAGGACCUGUGCUGUCUAGACUCUUCACUCUCGACUGAUCACACCAAACCAAACGCGCUCUAAAUUCUGGUACUGUGGUACACAAGGUUGAAUGUCCAUGAUCUGCAAGUAUCAUCGUAC